CUGUCAGUCUCGCGCGUUGCCUGGGCGAAGGGGGCGGAGCUUUGGCGUGGGGCGGCCAAUAGUGGGGGUGGCUGCGUGGGUCGCCAUGGGGACGGGGCUGUUCCCGGGGAGGCUGUGAUGGGUUGACAGGUGCGUGACAGUGGGAGCUGCUCUCGGCACAAGCAUGUACGGCAAAGGCAAGAGUAACAGCAGCGCCGUCCCGUCCGACAGCCAGGCCCGGGAGAAGUUAGCACUCUACGUAUAUGAAUAUCUGCUCCAUGUAGGAGCUCAGAAAUCAGCCCAAACAUUUUUAUCAGAGGU
rnacentral:lncRNA from 1 species